UGGGUCAGUAACUUAAUGGUAGAGGACUUUCUUGUCACGAAAGUAGAUAUCGGUUCAAGCCCGGUCUGACUCGU
rnacentral:tRNA from 1 species